rnacentral:misc_RNA from 1 species
GGAGAGAGGAAGCUAAACAAUGACUUGCAAAUCACAAAGAAUAUGAGAAAUCCAUAACAAUUCACAAACUGUUGAAGCUGAGGCUCUAUACUCAGCUUCUGCAGAUGAUUUGGAGACUGUAUUUUGCUUUUUGGUCUUCCAAGAGAUAAGAGAAUUACCAAGAAAGAUGCAAAAACCAGUAAGGGAUUUUCUAGAAAACACACAUGAUACCCAAUCAGCAUCACAAUAUGCUGAUAACCUCAAAUCACAAUCUGUUGAAAAAUAUAAUCCUCUAGAUGGACAGGAUUUUAAGUAUCUUAAAACAUGCAUAGCUGCAUCCAUGUGAGGCUUCCUAGGCACUGACAUAAACUGAGAUAAAUGUUGAACUGCAUAAUUGAUGUCAGGUCUAGUUAUAUUAAUAUACAAUAGCCUCCCAAUAAGUCUUCUAUAAGAAUCUGGUUCAGAUAAUAAGUCACCAGAAUCUGUAGACAAUUGCAGACCUUUAGGCAAAGGAAACAAAGCUGGUUUUGCAUUUGUCAUACCUGAAUCUGCUAACACAUCAAGUAUAAAUUUCCUUUGACUAAGAACUAUGCCAGAACCUGACCGUGCCACUUCCAAUCCCAGAAAGUACUUCAUAAAUCCCAAGUCUUUAAUUGUGAACUUGGAAUGAAAAGCCUGUUUAACAGUAGCAAUAGCUUCUGAACUAGUGCCAGUAAUUAUAACAUCAUCUACAUACACUAAAAGAGCCAUAAAUUGGUUGGAAUAUGUUUUUGUAAAAAGACAAUGAUCAUUCUUGGACUGAAGAAAUCUAAGAGAGUGAAGAAAACUAGUAAAUUCCAGGUUCCAUUGUCUAGAAGCCUGCUUCAAUCAAUACAAAGAUCUUUUUAAAAGACAGACUUAACCAGGUUUAGCUUUUUCAUACCCCUGUGGUGGAUGCAUAUAUACCUCUUCAUCCAAGUAUCCAUGGAAGAAUGCAUUAUUUAUAUCUAACUGAUAAAUCGGCUAUCUUUUAAUAGUUGCUAAUACAAUGAAUAUUCUCACUGUAACUAGUUUAGCUACAGGAGAAAACCUGUCCUUGUAAUCAAGUCCUUCUACUUGAUUAUAUCCUUUAGCAACUAAUCUAGCCUUGAACCUCUCUAUUUCACCAUUAGGCUUACACUUCACCUUAUAUACCCACUUAGACCCAAUAGCCUUUUUCCCUUUUGGCAAAGGUGUUAACAUCCAAGUUUCAUUCCUUUCUAAAGCAAAUAGCUCUUGCUGCAUAGCUUGAAUACAAUUAAUGUCUGUUGAAGCUUGUGAAAAAGUUGUAGGUUCAUGAAUAGUACACAUUAUGAACAAAUGAAGAAUGAGAAGGUGUAAAAAAAAUAACAGGGUUGAGAAAAUACCUGAUUUGUUGGCUGAGCAAGUGAUAGCUAGUGAAGGAGAGUCUGCAGAAGUUAGAUUAACAAAAUCCUUUAACCAUGCUGGUUUAGAAACUGUUCUAGUUGAUAUUCUUAGAGGAGGAUGAGGUGAAGGUAAAGAAAGAGAAGAUGAGUCAUUAGAAAGAGGUAGAGAAGAUAAAGAAGGUAAAGAAUUAAGUGGGGAAUGAUGAGAAUCAUUAUCAUUGGUAGUAAUAUCUGUGAUAGUUGAUAAAGGCUCAUUUGCAACAUUAUCAAUUGGUUUGGGAAGAACAACAGAAUCAGAAAAAAUAACAGGAGAAGAAAAAACAUAAUGAAAGGGAAAAUGAUUUUCCUAAAAUUUGACAUCUCUACUUACCAGUGUUAUCAAGGCGAAAGGC